AGAGUUUGAUCCUGGCUCAGAUUGAACGCUGGCGGAACGCUUUACACAUGCAAGUCGAACGGUAACAGCGAGGAAAGCUUGCUUUUUUCGGCUGACGAGUGGCGAACGGGUGAGUAAUACAUCGGAACGUGUCCGCUCGUGGGGGACAACCAUCCGAAAGGAUGGCUAAUACCGCAUGAGUUCUACGGAAGAAAGAGGGGGACCUGCUUGCAGGCCUCUCGCGAGCGGAGCGGCCGAUGACUGAUUAGCCAGUUGGUGAGGUAACGGCUCACCAAAGCAACGAUCAGUAGCUGGUCUGAGAGGACGACCAGCCACACUGGGACUGAGACACGGCCCAGACUCCUACGGGAGGCAGCAGUGGGGAAUUUUGGACAAUGGGCGCAAGCCUGAUCCAGCUAUUCCGCGUGUGGGAUGACGGCCCUCGGGUUGUAAACCACUUUAGUAGAGAACGAAAAGGAGCUAUCGAAUAAAUAGCUCUGCUGACGGUACUCUAAGAAUAAGCACCGGCUAACUACGUGCCAGCAGCCGCGGUAAUACGUAGGGUGCGAGCGUUAAUCGGAAUUACUGGGUGUAAAGGGAGCGCAGGCGGUAUGGCAAGUCAGAUGUGAAAACCCAGGGCUCAACCCUGGGACUGCAUUUGAAACUGCCAUACUGGAGUGCCGGAGAGGUAAGUGGAAUUCCUAGUGUAGCGGUGAAAUGCGUAGAUAUUAGGAGGAACACCAGUGGCGAAGGCGGCUUACUGGACGGUAACUGACGCUGAGGCUCGAAAGCGUGGGGAGCAAACAGGAUUAGAUACCCUGGUAGUCCACGCUGUAAACGAUGACUACUAGGUGUCGGGGUACAUAAGUACCUCGGUGCCGCAGCUAACGCAAUAAGUAUUCCACCUGGGGAGUACGUUCGCAAGAAUGAAACUCAAAGGAAUUGACGGGGGCCCGCACAAGCGGAGGAACAUGUGGUUUAAUUCGAUGAUACGCGAGGAACCUUACCCGGGCUUGAAAGUUAGCGACGAUUCUUGAAAGAGGAUUUCCCUUCGGGGCGCGAAACUAGGUGAUGCAUGGUUGUCGUCAGCUCGUGCCGUGAGGUGUCGGGUUAAGUCCCAUAACGAGCGCAACCCCUACUGUUAGUUGCCAUCAGGUCAAGCUGGGCACUCUAGCGGGACUGCCGGUGUAAGCCGAGAGGAAGGUGGGGAUGACGUCAAAUCAGCACGGCCCUUACGUCCGGGGCUACACACGUGUUACAAUGGUAGGUACAGAGGGCAGCUACCCAGCGAUGGGGUGCGAAUCUCGAAAGCCUAUCUCAGUUCGGAUUGGAGGCUGAAACCCGCCUCCAUGAAGUUGGAUUCGCUAGUAAUCGCGCAUCAGCCAUGGCGCGGUGAAUACGUUCCCGGGCCUUGCACUCAAAACCCGUCAA
rnacentral:rRNA from 1 species